UGGUGAAAUAUUUAUAUUGUUAGUAGCAUAAUUUAGUUAUUCUUUUUUAUAGGCUGUGAAAAUUUAGAUAUAAAAUAGGAUUAGAUACCCUAUUAUACUUUAUUAAAAAUUUUGUGCUUGAUUAGUAAUCAGUUAUUUUCUUGAAACUUAGAGGAUUUGGCGGUAUUCAAGUCUAGUUAGAGGAACCUGCUCAGUAAACGAUAUGCCCCGUAAAAUCUUUCUUUAUUUUGUUUCCAGUUUGUAUACCGCCAUUAUUAAGUAGUGUUUAUAGAUAAAUAUUGGGAUAAUAUUUUAGUAUAUUAGGUCAAGGUGCAGCUAAUAGUAAAGUUGAAGUGGGUUACAUUUAGUUUUAUUAAAGUCGGAUUUAAAUUUUAUAAUUUUAUUGAAGUUGGAUUUAAUUGUAAUUUUGUUUUAAUAAGGCAUUAUGAUAGUAGCUCUAGAAUAUGUACACAUCGCCCGUCGCUCUCAUUAGUUAAAGU
rnacentral:rRNA from 1 species